CCAUAGGGUAGAAGAGAGAUUAUUAUCCUAAAGCUAUUAGGGAAAUGGUACAUCAUCAGAUCCUGAUAGAAAUGCUCUUUGCUUGUUCUUCUAAUGGAAGAAUCCAGAAACUGGGAGAUGAAGCCUUGAAGCAGAUCGUUCGGGCACAGGGAAUCCAAUCCGAGAUCAAGAACUUGGGCAAGAAAUUGUCCAAGAUUCAAGAUCUCCUUAAUGAUGCUGCUGAAAAAGAAACUGCCGAUAAAGAUGUCAGACAAUGGCUCAAUAGUCUCAAACAUUUGGCUUAUGAUAUUGAUGACUUACUUGAUGGUUUGGCCACUGAUGCUAUGCAUCAUGAGCUGACUGACCAUCAUGACUCGUCAGGUGCAACCACCAGCAAGGUAAUUACAAAGUUCAUCCCCACUUGCUGCACUAACUUGAAACUAAGUAGUAAACUGCAUCACAAGUUAGAUAUCAUUGCCUCCAAGUUACAGGAUCUAGAAAAGGAAAAACAGUCUCUAGGUUUGAUUAAGAAAGAUGAAAUGCCAAAAUAUGAGACUAGUAGAAGAAACGAAACCUCUUUGCCAGAUUCAUCCGAAAUUAUUGGACGAAAAGGAGAAAAAGUGGAAUUGCUCCAUAAGUUGUUGGGAGAUGAGCCAUGUAAGGAAAACUUUAGUGUUAUACCGAUAGUUGGCAUGGGUGGGGUUGGUAAAACCACUUUAGCUAGAAGUUUGUACAAUGAAACAAAAGUAAAAGAUCACUUUAAACUCCAUGCAUGGGUGUGUGUUUCUGAUGAUUUUGAUGUUUUUAAGAUAACUGAAACCAUCUUUCGAGCAAUGGCUAGUAAAAACAAGGAGUUUAAAGAUUUAAAUGAGGUUCAAAUAGCUCUUUCUGAUCAACUUAAGGAGAAACGAUUUCUAGUAGUGCUAGAUGACAUUUGGAGUGAAAAGUAUGUUGAUUGGGAGAACCUAGUAAAGCCGUUUCAUUCAGGAGCCCCGGGAAGUAAAGUAAUCAUGACAACCCGAAAGGAGGGAUUGCUCAAACAAAUAGGUUUUGAUCAUCUAAAUAAGCUGGGGAGUUUGUCACAUGAUGAUGCUAUGUCUUUACUUGCUCGACAUGCAUUGGAUGUUGAUAACUUUGAUUCACACACGGAUCUCAAACCUCAUGGUGAAGUUAUUGUGAAAAACUGUGGGCAUUUGCCUUUAGCUUUGAAAGUGGUUGGAAGGCUACUAAAGAGAAAUAUAAGUGAACAAUAUUGGCAGCACAUGCUAAAGAGCAAGAUAUGGCAAAUCCAUGAUAAUAUUGUUCCUGCCCUUAGGCUAAGCUACUUAGAGCUUUCAGCAUGUUUGAAACAAUUGUUUGCAUAUUGUUCCUUUUUCCCCAAGGACUUUCUGUUUGACAAGAAGGAGUUGGUUUUGUUGUGGGUAGCAGAAGGUUUCAUUAAGAAAUCAGGUGGAAGCGAAUUAACCGAAGAAUCCGUUGGCUAUGAAUAUUUUGAAGAGCUCCUAUCGAGGUCAUUUUUUCAACAUGCACCUAAUGAUGAAUCAUUGUUUGUGAUGCACGACCUCUUGAAUGACUUGGCCACAUUUAUUGCUGAAGAUUUUUUUCUAAGGUUCGAUGACGGGAAGACGAAAACUUUGGCAAAGUACCGACAUAUGUCAUUUAUUCGUGAGAAAUUUGUUGGUUACCAGAAGUUCGAGGCAUUUAAAAGUGCCAAGAACUUGAGAACAUUUUUGGCAGUGUCUAUUGGGGUGAAAGAAACUUCUGAUUGCUUCUACUUAUCGAAUAUGAUUUUGGUUGACUUACUUCCUGUGUUACCACUGUUGAGGGUUCUUUCGUUAAACGGCUUUCAGAUAAGUGAGGUACCGGAAUGUGUUGGUCGUUUGAAGCACUUGAGGUAUCUUAACUUAUCGCAAACCAAUAUCAAAGAACUACCAGAAAAUGUGGGCAAUCUUUAUAAUUUACAAUCACUGAUUGUUUUUGGUUGUCAUAAAUUAUGUAAGUUGCCGAAGAGCUUUUCAAAGCUAAAAAUUUUGCGACAUCUUGACAUUAGAGACACUCCAUUGUUGAAUCAGAUGCCCUUUGGAAUUGGUGAGUUGAAUAGCCUACAAACACUUAGCAAGAUCGUCAUGGAAGGAAAUGAUGGUUUUACAAUAACUGAGCUCAAAGAGUUAAAGAAUCUCGAGGGGAAGAUUUGCAUCGAGGGGUUGGAAAAAGUGCAAGAUUCAAGGCAUGCACGGGACGCAAGCUUAUCAACAAAAAGGCUUACUGAGUUAAUGUUGGUAUGGAAUGAUGUAUCUGAUGAUUCUCGAAAUGAAGCAUUUGAAAAUGAGGUCCUUUAUGAAUUGAAGCCUUGUAAUGAUGCUUUGAAGAAAUUCAAAAUCUUGUCUUAUCCGGGAACAAAGUUUCCAAACUGGGUAGGUGAUCCCUCCUUUCACAAGUUGGUCAGAGUUGUGAUAGGUGACUGUAAAAAUUGUAAGUCUUUGCCUGCACUUGGGAAGCUACAAUCACUAAAGGAGUUGGCAAUUCAAGGCAUGAAGGAGGUUAAAGUCAUAGGUUCAGAGUUUCUUGGGACUAGUGGUGUUGCAUUCCCUUCACUUGAAAUUUUAGCGUUUAAAGAUAUGCCGUGUUGGGGGGUAUGGUCAACCUAUAACGGGAUUGCUGAUGAAGUGUUACCAUGCCUUCAACAUAUUUGUAUAAUUGGUUGUCCUGAAUUAGUUGACAUCUCACUUGAAGCACUACCUUCAUUGAGAACUCUAAUGAUAUAUGACUGUGGUGAUGUUGUGUUAAGAAGUAUGGUCCGUGUAGCUUCUUCAGUCACUAUGUUGUCGAUAAAGAAUAUUGCAGGGCUUAGUGAUGAGGUGUGGAGAGGUGUUAUAAAGAAUCUAAGGGCAAUUGAUCAUUUAUGGGUCGAGUCUUGUAAUGAAAUAAGAUACAUGUGGGAAUCAGAGGAAGAGGCAAGUAAGGAUCUUUUGAAUUUAAGGCACUUGAAAGUUAAAGGAUGUUCAGAAUUUGUGAGAUUAGGAGAGAAAGAGGAGGAGGAUAGUAGGAGCAAUCUGCUAACAUCUUUAAGGAUUUUGGAACUAGAGAAUUGCGAUAACUUGAAGGAAUGCAGUUGUCCAGGUAGUAUUGAGACAUUGAAAAUUGUUGAAUGUAGUUCAAUUACACGUGUCUCAUUCCCAACAGGAGGAGGAAUGGAGAAGCUCAAGGUACUUAGAAUUAUAGAUUGCAAUGAGUUGCUGGGUUGGGGAGAAAAUACCAACAACAAAUCAAUGGUUGAAUUUGUACGUAUAACCGGUUGGCCAAAUCUGAAAUCAAUGAAUCGAUUAUUGAACUCUAAUCACCUCACCUCCCUGUUCAUAUUGGAUUGUGAGAAUAUGGAGUCAUUUCCAGACCUUGAGCUACCAAAUCUCACCUCGUUAACAACUCUAUGUAUAGCUCAUUGUUCAAGCAUAGAUGGUUGUUUUCCACGUGGACAUUGGCCUCCCAAAUUGACUAUUCUUUCCAUCGGAGGGUUGAAGAAGCCCAUAUCAGAGUGGGGCCCACAGAAUUUUCCCACCUCGCUUGUUAAACUAACGUUAUUUUGGGGAGAAAAUGAUUAUGAGGUGAAGAAUCUGAGUCGAUUGUCUCCUCAUCUUUUUCCUUUAACUCUUACUAAUCUUACCAUAUGUGCUUUCGAGAAUUUGGAAACAGUUUCAGUGGGACUUGAACACCUUACCUCCCUCCGACAUCUAAAGAUUUUGAAUUGCCCAAAGUUAAAAGAUCUACCAGAGAAGCUGUUGCCUUCACUCCUGAGUUUGGAUAUUGAUGAAUGCCCAAUACUGAAAGAAAAGACGAGUAAAGGAGGGUUCUUCAACAAUAACUACUGGUCCAAAAUCUCCCACAUCCCCUGCAUCAAGAUAGAUGAUGAAUUACAAAAUUAGUGCUCUUCUUGAACUUGGUGGCUAUGCUAAAUGCAUGUACAAAACCUUGAAAAAGCUUAAGAGGAGCUCUGUGGUUGUCAAUGACAUAAUGAGAACUUUGAUUGAUUUGCUAUCUGUCAAUGCGGCAGAUAUUUGGAAUUCUUCAGAAGGAUUUGAGUCAGAUACAUCAAUGAACGGGGAGGUUCUAUCUUUGCUUAGCCUAAAAGGUCGACUGAUAAACAACCAUUCUGAUGGAAUUAAGGUAUGCGAUACAGGUAAAAAGACAUUACGGUUGAUGCAGGAUGUUCGUGAACAUGCAAAGGCUGUUACUUGUCUCUAUGUUUCUCCUUCAAGCAAUAAGCUUUAUAGUGGCUCUUUGGAGAAGACUAUUCGGAUAUGGGUAAUCAAAGAGGAAGAAAUUCACUGUAUUCAAGUUCAUGAUGUUAAAGAGGCAGUCCAUCAGUCCAUGGGUUGACAGCUGAUGCAAAUUAUGCAUAUUUUUUCUAUCAAGGUGCUGGAGUUAAGUUUAGGUCUCUAGUCAAAGUGAAGAAAGUCGAAGCAACAAAAAUGAAAUAACAAAGUGCCGACUAAAUUAGCAUCUUUAUAGAUUUGUGGGUGGUCUGGAGUAGUCUAGAACAUCAACAUCAAACAAACGGUCAAGAGCAUUGCCUUUAUUGGAAAUAAGCUAUAUUGCGGAUGCAGUGCUUUCAGCAUACAGGCUGCUGUGAAAACAUUUCACGAAGUCGAUUUGCAAAAAUAUACAACAAAGACAGUUUACUAAGGAGCAAGAAAAUUGUUGGUAAACUCGAGUUGGAUAUAUGCUCAAGAAUAUUUAUUAAGGAGCAUAUAUAAAUUGGAUAUAUACUCAAGACAAAAAAAUGGGAUAAUUGAGGUGUGGUUGAAAGAAAGGUUAACACGAGUUGCUUCCAUCAAGAAUGCCAAAAUCACAUCCCUGGCCUCAGAUGCUGAUGGAGAAAUGCACUUUGCCUGUUAUUCUGAUGGAAGAAUCCAGGUUAAUUAGACACACUCAUUAAAAUACCAGUUCUAUACUUAUUGCACCAAUUGUCUCUUUGAAUAUCCUUAAAAGAUUUUUUUUAUUUUUUAUUUCACAGAAUGCAAUUUCAACCCAUUCACUUA